GGGAGGCAGCAGUAGGGAAUCUUCCGCAAUGGACGAAAGUCUGACGGAGCAACGCCGCGUGAGUGAUGAAGGCCUUCGGGUCGUAAAGCUCUGUUGUUAGGGAAGAACAAGUACCGUUCAAAUAGGGCGGUACCAUGACGGUACCUAACCAGAAAGCCACGGCUAACUACGUGCCAGCAGCCGCGGUAAUACGUAGGUGGCAAGCGUUGUCCGGAAUUAUUGGGCGUAAAGGGCUCGCAGGCGGUUCCUUAAGUCUGAUGUGAAAGCCCACGGCUCAACCGUGGAGGGUCAUUGGAAACUGGGGAACUUGAGUACAGAAGAGGAGAGUGGAAUUCCACGUGUAGCGGUGAAAUGCGUAGAGAUGUGGAGGAACACCAGUGGCGAAGGCGACUCUCUGGUCUGUAACUGACGCUGAGGAGCGAAAGCGUGGGGAGCGAACAGGAUUAGAUACCCUGGUAGUCCACGCCGUAAACGAUGAGUGCUAAGUGUUAGAGGGUUUCCGCCCUUUAGUGCUGCAGCAAACGCAUUAAGCACUCCGCCUGGGGAGUACGGUCGCAAGACUGAAACUCAAAGGAAUUGACGGGGGCCCGCACAAGCGGUGGAGCAUGUGGUUUAAUUCGAAGCAACGCGAAGAACCUUACCAGGUCUUGACAUCCCAUGACAACUCUAGAGAUAGAGCGUUCCCCUUCGGGGGACAUGGUGACAGGUGGUGCAUGGUUGUCGUCAGCUCGUGUCGUGAGAUGUUGGGUUAAGUCCCGCAACGAGCGCAACCCUUGAUCUUAGUUGCCAGCAUUUAGUUGGGCACUCUAAGGUGACUGCCGGUGACAAACCGGAGGAAGGUGGGGAUGACGUCAAAUCAUCAUGCCCCUUAUGACCUGGGCUACACACGUGCUACAAUGGAUGGUACAAAGGGCUGCGAGACUGCGAAGUUAAGCGAAUCCCAUAAAACCAUUCUCAGUUCGGAUUGCAGGCUGCAACUCGCCUGCAUGAAGCUGGAAUCGCUAGUAAUCGUGGAUCAGCAUGCCACGGUGAAUACGUUCCCGGGCCUUGUACACACCGCCCGUCACACCACGAGAGUUUGUAACACCCGAAGUCGGUGGAGUAACCGUAAGGAGCUAGCCGC
rnacentral:rRNA from 2 species